rnacentral:rRNA from 1 species
CAGCCGCCGCGGGAAUACGUAGGGUGCAAGCGUUAAUCGGAAUUACUGGGCGUAAAGCGUGCGCAGGCGGUGUUGUAAGACUGAUGUGAAAUCCCCGGGCUCAACCUGGGAACUGCAUUGGUGACUGCAACGCUGGAGUGCGGCAGAGGGGGAUGGAAUUCCGCGUGUAGCAGUGAAAUGCGUAGAUAUGCGGAGGAACACCGAUGGCGAAGGCAAUCCCCUGGGCCUGCACUGACGCUCAUGCACGAAAGCGUGGGGAGCAAACAGGAUUAGAUACCCCCGUAGUCCCUGUCUCUUAUAC